CCGCCCUCCUGAGCACUCAUAAUAUGUUACGCGAACUCAGAGGUGAGAUCAUCCCACCUCCGGUGAUCAAGGAUCUCGUGGGGGGCUUUAACCUCCCCCUCCCGCUCUAACCGGGAAAUAAGUGCGUGGAUACCCUUCUUAGAAGGAGCAUACUCGCCAAAGUAAUCCUUACAAAACUGAAGCAAUACCUUAAGAACAUGGUCCAUGGUCAGCCCGUCGCUGUCACCACCAAGUCACACUCGACGCCGCCGUCCACACGGGUCCUCCGUGAGCGCCCUGUCGUCCCCCCAGACCCCACCGCAACACAGGUUCUACUUGCCAGCCGGCACUAUCGUCGUCGCCACCAUCUUCUGCAGGGCGUCACCCCAGUCUGCAGGCUCCCCCUCUCUUCAGGGCACGCGGGCUGGGCGUCACCCCAAAUCUCGUGCUACGGCGUCACCCCACAGCUCGUAGCCACGCAGAGGGCAUCACAACACAGUCUGUGCCUCACACGGGGCACCAUUUGUUGCUUUCUGCAACAACGAUGUUAGCCACCUGUGUUAGGCCUCUGCGCUCACUGACCAAUAGCCUGAUCAGGGCCAAAUGACUGCAGACGCACACCAAUAUGAUGAGCAGCAAAAUGGCGUUUAUUCACUACCAAAUACAGCUUCUAUACAUUUUUACCUACAUAACCGCGCUGUCAUGUCCCACCCUGAUUGGUUCACACCAGAUAACAUUGUGCCUUAUUUGGCCAUUUCCACAUUCUUUUCUCAUCUUUCUUCUUCUCCUGUUUUCUCUGCAUCAAGGUCAGCACGGUAGCACUGUCUCUCUAUGCUUAGGGAGAGGCCUGUCCCGUACAUCCCGUACCCCCGCAAGAUGCCUACUACAACAGUAUCUAACCUAAACCUAUUUGCUGAAGGUGAUCUGUAAUGGAUCGGUAAUAGUGUAGCACCACAAUGUAACAAGCCAUAUGAGAAGUCUCUUCCCACAGUGCAGCCAACUAUCCUACAUGGGGCUCAACCUCAGAACCGUAAACCCUUUCUUCUGCAAUAGUUUGAAGCGCUGAGGUUAGGACAUUCCUACCUGCAGAACAGCUCCUCUGCACUAUGCAGCAAAUUGAGAUCUCAUUUAUAUCUAUUACACAUAAUUGUAGAUAUAAUUAUAUCACAUAUUAUAUAAUAUAUACGCAUGUAUUAUAUAUUUAUGUAUAUAAUAUAUAGAUAUCAUUAUAUUAUAUAUUUAUUAUAUAUAUAUUACUAUACAUAUAUAUAUAAUUUAAAUAUCAUAUAAAUAUAUUCUAUUUAAUUAUAUAUGUCAUAUUUUGAUUGCCGAGGUGAGCUGCUCCAGAGCUUUCCUGGACUGAAUAGCAGGGACUGACCGCGAGGUACAGGGGGGUUUCAGUCGGUUCCUUCAUCGGUUCCUUCAUCCCUGGAACCGUGGGAUAACAGAGCAGCCCGGCAGCUCUGGCAAGAGCGGCUGACAUUGAAUGGGCGUUGCCUGGGCAACGGCUCUGCGUUAGCGCCCCCUUGCCUUGAAAAAGCCUGAGGGAGACGGAGAGGGAGAUUGUUUGGUGGUGCCAAGCUCUGUAUGACCCGAGAUCUUGGCAGCCAGCUGAGGCUCCACACGGAGUAGGUGCCACCCUGCCGCUUUGCAAACAGGUGGCAGAGGGGAACCAGCAGGCAGACAGUGUUCCUGCUGCAGUGAGCCUCCUGUCCUCUCCUCCCCCUAGAAACAACGGUGAAGAACUGGGGGAUGUGGGGCAGUGGCAAAAGGCCCCUGCUCGGCGAUGCAGAGAUUCCCCUGCCUCCCCAGCUGCCCUUGCAGAGCAGGUACAGUGCUCUGCGGGGACAGCUGGACAAUGGCUGUGAUGAUGGUUCUCCCCACUUGGUGGUGUUACCAAAGUCCAACCAGUCCUUGCUUAGCAUUAAAACCUCAUCAGCAAAGAAAAAACGACGGGUCACUGUCAUUGGUGACUCUGCUGAAGGGAACAGAAGGGCCAAUAUGUAGACCAGACCCUCUACACAGUGAGGGCUGCUGCCUCCCAGGAGCCAAAGACAUGAGGAAGAAACUUCCUUGCCUAGUUCGGCCCCCAGAUUACUAUCCCCUGUUGUUGUUUCAGGUUGGCAGCAAUGAUAUAGGAAGAAAUUCCCUAAAGCCUAUGAAAAAGGACUUCAGAGCCUUGGGGCGACAGGUCAAGACUUUGGGAGCAGGAGUUGUGUUCUCCUCUAUCCCUCCAGUUAUAGGGAAUGAUGAUGGACUAAAUAUGAUGGGCCAACGGAUUAACAUCUGGCUCCGAGCCUGGUGUGCCUGGCAGGGGUUUGGGUUUUUUGACCUCUGCUCUGUUUGCAUGAGACCAGACUGGCUGGCAACUGAUAGGAGUAGCUUCUCUCACCGGCGGAAAGGGGUUUUAAGACAGGAGUUGGGAAGGUUUCAUUGAUAGAGCUUUAAACUAGGUAUGAAGAGGGGUAGGGUAUAACUGGGGUCACUAGAAUCGAGCCUGUAUGUAACGUGCCAGUGCUUGUAGGAGAGGGAUGUGCUAGUAAGAUCCCGCAGUCUUGUGUCUUGGUGAAGAAGGAGGAUGACUCACCCUUUUGUACGAAGAACACAAGGGUUGGUGUGAGGUUGGUGGCUGUGGAAACACCUGAGUGUGGUCAUGAGGGUAUUAGGGCUACUGCCACUGAAAAGGAGGCCAAGCUCAGGUGCCUUUACACUAACACAUGCAGCAUGGGUAAUAAACAGGAGGAGCUGGAGGCCAUUGUGUGGUCGGAAAGCUAUGAUACAGUCAUCAUCACGGAAACGUGCUGGAAAGACUAGCAGAGCUGGAGUGCUGUGAUGGAUGGCUACCGACUUUUCAAAAGAGACAGGCAAGGCAGGAAAGGCGGUGGUGUAACCCUCUAUGUUAAGAAAGAAUGUGAAUGUAUGGAAAUUAAUGAUGGUGAUGAUAGGGUGGAGAGCUUAUGGGUCAGAAUAAAAGCGAAGGCCAAUAAAACUGAUAUUAUCAUGGGCAUGUGCUACAGGCCAUCCAACAAGGAUGAAGAGGUGAGAAUGAAUCUGAGAAAUCCACCAGGGUGGCGACCAGGGCACGCUGGGAAUCCUAUGGCCAAUGCGGGGGAAAGGCAUUGUGACAUCACAGAGCAGGGCAUGACAUCAGACUUGGUCAAGUCACGCCGGCAGCCUCCCCCAGCUCAGACACUUGGAGCAACAGCUCCGUCCUGGUGGUCACUGCUGGAGCUCUGCUGUGGGUGACAGCCAUUUGUGUGCAGAGAUUGUUCUUUGGGAGAGAACAGGAUGAAGUUCAGCCUGACUCUCUUCCUGGCCAUGGCUCUGAGCCUGUCUCCAUUUGCGGGACGUGGCCCAGGCUGUCCCAGCUAUCUCAGCUGGGUCUGUAGUUGCGACCAAAAGGUCCUUCCUGAGGAGGAGCAUCGGGUGGAGACCAACAGCCAGACCUCCACCUGGCGCUGCAGGCUAGGCCUAAACUCCUGCCCGGUCAGGAUCGAGGACAGGAAGAACAACCCAGUCCUUCCUGAGAAGCAACCUGUGGAGGAGACCAAGAGCCAGACCUCCACCCGGCGCUGCUGGUUUGGCUUAACCUCCUGCCCCAUCAGGACCAAGGACACGAACACAAACCAGGUCCUUCCAGAGGAGCAGCCUACAGAGAAAACCAAGAGCCAAACCUCAUACUGGUCCUGCUUGCUUGGCUCUUCCCAGUGUCCCAUAUGGGUCUGGUACAAGGGCAGCAAAGUUGCUGUUCCACAAGGCCCAAAGCAGCAGUCCCGGGCACCAAGCAGAAGGCCUACAGCUUGCCUGGCAUCCUGGGCCACCUUUGGGACUACCUUAUGCAAAGCGGGAGAACCUGGCUCCUUACAGCUCCCUUGACAAUUUUCUCCAUUCUCUGGCUGCUGACAACUGCCCGUGCCCACUGGAGAAGAUUAAGAAGACCUCGGGGACAGGGAGCGGGACAAGCGGAUCCAGCUUCCUCAGGAACAGAGGAAACGGACAACCUAAAUGCUCUCGACCUGCUCUGCCAGAUGGACGCCUACAUAACCCUAAUGGAGAGACUUAUGACGAUCCUCAUGCAGCACCACGUGAAAAAUGUCAGGAGCCAGCAGUGCAGGAAGACGGUGCACAGCACGGGGGACAGGAAGAGCCCCUCCACAGACUCCUGAGGGAGCUGGCAGAGGUGACCGCUGAGCCGCUCUCGGCUGUCUACCAACAACCACGAGAGACCCCC
ensembl:lncRNA